GAUGAACGCUGGCGGCGUGCCUAAUACAUGCAAGUCGAGCGAACGGACGAGAAGCUUGCUUCUCUGAUGUUAGCGGCGGAAGGGUGAGUAAAACGUGGAUAAACUACCUAUAAGACUGGGAUAAAUUCGGGAAACCGGAGCUAAUACCGGAUAAUAUUUUGAACCGCAUGGUUCAAAAGUGAAAGACGGUCUUGCUGUCACUUAUAGGUGGAUCCGCGCUGCAUUAGCUAGUUGGUAAGGUAACGGCUUACCAAGGCAACGAUGCAUAGCCGACCUGAGAGGGUGAUCGGCCACACUGGAACUGAGACACGGUCCAGACUCCUACGGGAGGCAGCAGUAGGGAAUCUUCCGCAAUGGGCGAAAGCCUGACGGAGCAACGCCGCGUGAGUGAUGAAGGUCUUCGGAUCGUAAAACUCUGUUAUUAGGGAAGAACAUAUGUGUAAGUAACUGUGCACAUCUUGACGGUACCUAAUCAGAAAGCCACGGCUAACUACGUG
rnacentral:rRNA from 1 species